rnacentral:ncRNA from 1 species
GGUUUGCGUCCCUCAAAGUCGUAACAAGGUUUCCGUAGGUGAACCUGCGGAAGGAUCAUUA